AACGAACGCUGGCGGCAGGCCUAACACAUGCAAGUCGAGCGCCCUUUCGGGGGAGCGGCGGACGGGUGAGUAACGCGUGGGAAUAUGCCCUUCUCUACGGAAUAGCCUCGGGAAACUGAGAGUAAUACCGUAUACGCCCUAUGGGGGAAAGAUUUAUCGGGGAAGGAUUAGCCCGCGUUGGAUUAGGUAGUUGGUGGGGUAAUGGCCUACCAAGCCGACGAUCCAUAGCUGGUUUGAGAGGAUGAUCAGCCACACUGGGACUGAGACACGGCCCAGACUCCUACGGGAGGCAGCAGUGGGGAAUCUUAGACAAUGGGGGCAACCCUGAUCUAGCCAUGCCGCGUGAGUGAUGAAGGCCUUAGGGUUGUAAGCUCUUUCAGCUGGGAAGAUAAUGACGGUACCAGCAGAAGAAGCCCCGGCUAACUCCGUG
rnacentral:rRNA from 1 species